rnacentral:rRNA from 1 species
CGACUCUCAGCAACGGAUAUCUUGGCUCUUGCAUCGAUGAGAACGCAGCGAAAUGCGAUACCUAGUGUGAAUUGCAGAAUUCCGCGAAUCAUCGAGUCUUUGAACGCAAGUUGCGCCCGAGGCUUGUCCCGAGGGCAUGCCUGUCUGAGCGUC